UGUCUCCGACUGCCGGUCCACAAGCUCUGCCGGGUCAUUUCACACUGUCAGGGAUAUUGAUUCAGUAACCGUCCAAGGUUAGAAAACCCGUGAGCGCGCAGCUGAAGAGGACCUUACAAAACCUUCUCUGAAGUUAACCUCGGAAAUCCUCGUCCUAUAUGCCCCAUGAAUUGCGUCUCCGACUGGAUUAUCCAAACUAGUGAGCCUCUGCCGAGUGUGCAGAGCGGACUUGGGCACAGCGAGCUUGAUCACAUUUCAGCAGGGUAGUUAACCUCUUUGGGUGAUAUGGGGAAAUGGAAAUCUCAUUCACUGACCUAGAAUGAGAAGGAAGAGAUGAGUGCCGGCAUCCUGCUCUUUAUGUCCUUCCCUCUCCAAUCUGUGUCAUGGAGUAUUCACCACAGAAGACAGACGUCUUGGAUAUGAAUUUCAGCCAAGUCUUCAUUAGCCGGCAGUGACCACGCUGAGUUUCAGGAUCCAAGUGUAGCAUCGAACCUUUCACAUGCAGGCAGUGCUGUCUACAUGUUGAGUUUUUGUCCUGAAUGGUACUUCCACCAUGGAGUCUGUUGUGCUAAGGACUGGGGGCCUACUAAGGUCUGGACUCCUGUUAUAGCCCUAGACUUCCAUGGGCAUUGUCCUCUGGAGGAUGGAAACCCAAGUAUGACUCUCCAACACAUGUUUUCGCCACACCCAAAUAUCCAUUUACCCCAGUAUGGCUUCUCUGAGGGACUCCCUGCUCACCUGUACCAGGACCCUGAUUCUCCCACAGGUUGAGGGGCUGACUGAGACCAGUCCCCUGCAACUUGGAACUAAAGGUAAGCUAAUCUGUGUUUCCUGGCCAGUCUCUCAAAUUUGGUUCCAGAAUAAACUAUCUUAUACCCUUUU
ensembl:processed_transcript 4930586N03Rik RIKEN cDNA 4930586N03 gene